rnacentral:rRNA from 1 species
UACGUAGGUGGCAAGCGUUGUUCGGAAUUAUUGGGCGUAAAGGGCGCGUAGGCGGUCGAUUAAGUCAGCUGUGAAAGCCCGGGGCUCAACCCCGGGAGGCGGGUGGAUACUGUCAAGCUCGAGUCCGGAAGAGGAGUGUGGAAUUCCUGGUGUAGCGGUGAAAUGCGCAGAUAUCAGGAGGAACACCAAUGGCGAAGGCAGCACUCUGGGACGUGACUGACGCUGAGACGCGAAAGCGUGGGGAGCAAACAGG